UUUUUUGGUAUUGGGGCGAAGGACAACUGCGUCCGAUGUGACAGAGCAAGGGUCGGAUCUAUUUCCAGGCAUGUUAAGGCGAUGUGCUGCCGUGCUACGGCUGCGGUCUCUCUCGGCGUCGGUGGUUGGGGGCGCUCCGACGUUCCUUACCGGCUCGACUGCCAGAGGUCUAUGCGAUGGAAGUUUUUUUUUUGCUGUUGAACGACGUGCGUCGUGUUUUGUUGUCUUCACUCGACGAAAGUUACAGCGACGUGCGGACGGUGGGUGCGGCGACAGAGGUAGCGUCGCGCUAAGAGCAAAGCAGCACUGCACUGUGAUUUCCUAGACCGGCGUAUGUUUUGGCGUGGCUGCGUUUCUUCGUACGACGAUGUUGCAACGCUGGUGUCGAGCAGAGGCUCGCCGGAGUAGGUGGCCUGGCUGAAAGGGUGUACAGGGCUGGCGAUGGACGGCGAGCUCAGGCUGCUGCGGCACCACCAAGGGCGGCGCAAAACCUAGGCGGCGGAAGAGCUGCAGAAACCUUAGGGCACGGGUUCUGGGCUUAAUUUUUGGGCCUGGGCGCUGAACAGCUUAUGGGCCGUGAGUGUGGGCCCUGUUUGGCAGAUAUGGGCUGCGCAGCUGAAGCUGUUUAGGGUUGUAGCAUGCGGCCCUUGGCUGUCUCGUGGGCUGCGAGAUUUGCGGUUUUGUGGCCAUUUUCGGGUCCUAAGUUUUUUCCAGCCCAAGCUUUGUUUUGUUUUAUUUUCUUUUCUAUUUUUUUAAUAGAUUAGAAAGGACUUCCACGAAUGGGCCACGAAGAAUUUUUUAUUUUAUUUUUAUUAUUCUUCGCAUGUCGG
rnacentral:lncRNA from 1 species